GACGAACGCUGGCGGCGUGCUUAACACAUGCAAGUCGAACGGAGUGGCGAACGGGUGAGUAACACGUGGGUGACCUGCCUUGCACUUCGGGAUAAGCUUGGGAAACUGGGUCUAAUACCGGAUAGUGCAAGAUGAGCUCGCGGGUUAUCAGCUUGUUGGUGGGGUAAUGGCCUACCAAGGCGUCGACGGGUAGCCGGCCUGAGAGGGUGUACGGCCACAUUGUGACUGCGAGACGGACCAGACUCCUACGGGGGGCAGCAGUGGUGAAUAUUACACAAUGGGCGGAAGUCUAGUGCAGCGGCGCCGCGUGGGGAAUGAAGGCCUUCGGGUUGUAAAGUCCUUUCGACAGGGACGCGGUACCUGUAUAAGAAGCACCGGCUAACUACGUGCCAGCCGCCGCGGUAAUUC
rnacentral:rRNA from 1 species